rnacentral:rRNA from 1 species
GACGAACGCUGGCGGCGUGCCUAAUACAUGCAAGUCGAACGCAGUGGGGACGGGUGAGUAACACGUGGGUAACCUCCCCUCAGAGGGGAUAACACUUUGAAACAGGUGCUAAACCGAUACUGAUGGAUGGACCCGCGGUGCAUUGGCUAGUUGGUGAGGUAACGGCUAACCAAGGCCACGAUGCAUAGCAGACCUGAGAGGGGGAUCGGACACACUGGGACUGAGACACGGCCCAGACGCCUACGGGAGGCAGCAGUAGGGAAUCUUCGGAAAUGGACGGAAGUCUGACCGAGCAACGCCGCGUGAGUGAAGAAGGUUUUCGGAUCGUAAAGCGCUGUUGUAAGAGAAGCGGUAUCUUACCAGAAAGGGACGGCUAACUACGUGCCAGCAGCCGCGGUAAUAC